UACGGAGGAUCCAAGCGUUAUCCGGAUUUAUUGGGUUUAAAGGGUGCGUAGGCGGUUUCUUAAGUUAGAGGUGAAAUCCCGUGGCUCAACCACGGAACUGCCUCUGAUACUGGGAGGCUAGAGAAUAGUUGCUGUGGGCGGAAUGUAUGGUGUAGCGGUGAAAUGCUUAGAGAUCAUACAGAACACCGAUUGCGAAGGCAGCUCACAAAGCUAUAUCUGACGCUGAGGCACGAAAGCGUGGGGAGCAAACAGG
rnacentral:rRNA from 1 species